AGAGUUUGAUCCUGGCUCAGGACGAACGCUGGCGGCGUGCCUAAUACAUGCAAGUCGAGCGAGCUUGCCUAGAUGAUUUUAGUGCUUGCACUAAAUGAAACUAGAUACAAGCUAGCGGCGGACGGGUGAGUAACACGUGGGUAACCUGCCCAAGAGACUGGGAUAACACCUGGAAACAGAUGCUAAUACCGGAUAACAACACUAGACGCAUGUCUAGAGUUUAAAAGAUGGUUCUGCUAUCACUCUUGGAUGGACCUGCGGUGCAUUAGCUAGUUGGUAAGGUAACGGCUUACCAAGGCAAUGAUGCAUAGCCGAGUUGAGAGACUGAUCGGCCACAUUGGGACUGAGACACGGCCCAAACUCCUACGGGAGGCAGCAGUAGGGAAUCUUCCACAAUGGACGCAAGUCUGAUGGAGCAACGCCGCGUGAGUGAAGAAGGGUUUCGGCUCGUAAAGCUCUGUUGGUAGUGAAGAAAGAUAGAGGUAGUAACUGGCCUUUAUUUGACGGUAAUUACCUAGAAAGUCACGGCUAACUACGUGCCAGCAGCCGCGGUAAUACGUAGGUGGCAAGCGUUGUCCGGAUUUAUUGGGCGUAAAGCGAGUGCAGGCGGUUCAAUAAGUCUGAUGUGAAAGCCUUCGGCUUCAACCGGAGAAUUGCAUCAGAAACUGUUGAACUUGAGUGCA
rnacentral:rRNA from 1 species